GGUUCUUUAUAUACUGUUUCCACAUCUAAUUCUGAUACUUUAUCUGCCUCUUCAACAUCUGAUUCUGGUUCUUUAUAUACUGUUUCCACAUCUAAUUCUGAUACUUUAUCUGCCUCUUCAACAUCUGAUUCUGGUUCUUUAUAUACUGUUUCCACAUCUGAUUCUGAUAUUUUAUCUGCCUCUUCAAUAUCUGAUUCUAACACUUCUUCAACUGCCUUUUCCAUAACUGAUUCUGAUACUUUAUCUGCCUCUUCAACAUCUGAUUCUGGUUCUUUAUAUACUGUUUCCACAUAUAAUUCUGAUACUUUAUCUGCCUCUUCAACAUCUGAUUCUGCUUCUUUAUAUACUGUUUCCACAUCUGAUUCUGAUAUUUUAUCUGCCUCUUCACCAUCUGAUUCUGGUUCUUUAUAUACUGUUUCCACAUCUGAUUCUGAUAUUUUAUCUGCCUCUUCAAUAUCUGAUUCUGGUUCUUUAUAUACUGUUUCCACAUCUAAUUCUGAUAUUUUAUCUGCUUCUUUAACAUCUGAUUCUGAUACUUUAUCUGCAUUUUCAACAUCUGAUUCUAACACUUCUUCAACUGCCUCUUCCAUAACUGAUUCUGAUAUUUUAUCUGCCUCUUCAACAUCUGAUUCUGAUAUUUUAUCUGCUUCUUUAACAUCUGAUUCUGAUACUUUAUCUGCAUUUUCAACAUCUGAUUUUAACACUUCUUCAACUGCCUCUUCCAUAACUGAUUCUGAUAUUUUAUCUGCCUCUUCAACAUCUGAUUCUGGUUCUUUAUAUACUGUUUCCAUAUCUGAUUCUGAUACUUUAUCUGCUUUUUCAACAUCUGAUUCUGAUACUUUAUCUUCUUCUUCUUCUUCUUCAACGUCUGCUUCUGGUGUUUCUUUAGCAUCUUCAUCUGGUAUUGUUGUUUCUUUCUCUUCUAUAUCUGAUUCUAAUACCUUAUCGACCUUUCCAACGUCGGAUCCUAAUAAUAUUUUAUCUGCCUCAUCAACAUCCGAUUCUAAUGUUUUUUCAGUAUCCUCUUUAACAUCUGCUUCUAAAAUUUUCUUAUCUUCCUCUUUAACAUCUCCUUCGAAUAAUGACUUGUAUAUCGUAUCAACAUCUGAUACUAAUACUUCUUCAUCUUUCUCUUCAACACCAGUUGUUAGUACUUCAUCUACCUUUCCAACGUCGGAUCCUAACAAUGCUUCAUCUGCUUCUUCUUCUUUUGUUUCUUCUUUUG
rnacentral:lncRNA from 1 species